GACGAACGCUGGCGGCGUGCUUAACACAUGCAAGUCGAGCGGUAAGGCCCCUUCGGGGGUACACGAGCGGCGAACGGGUGAGUAACACGUGAGUAACCUGCCCCAUUCUUCGGAAUAGCCAGUGGAAACGCUGGCUAAUGCCGAAUAUGACCAUCGAAGGCAUCUUCUGGUGGUGGAAAGCUACGGCGGAGUGGGAUGGACUCGCGGCCUAUCAGCUUGUUGGGGAGGUAACGGCUCACCAAGGCGACGACGGGUAGCCGGCCUGAGAGGGUGACCGGCCACACUGGGACUGAGACACGGCCCAGACUCCUACGGGAGGCAGCAGUGGGGAAUAUUGGACAAUGGGCGAAAGCCUGAUCCAGCAACGCCGCGUGAGGGAUGACGGCCUUCGGGUUGUAAACCUCUUUCAGCAGGGACGAAGCGAAAGUGACGGUACCUGCAGAAGAAGGACCGGCCAACUACGUGCCAGCCGCCGCAGUAAAAC
rnacentral:rRNA from 1 species